UAGGGAAUAUUGGACAAUGGGCGCAAGCCUGAUCCAGCCAUGCCGCGUGAGUGAAGAAGGCCCUCGGGUUGUAAAGCUCUUUUGUCCGGAAAGAAAAGCAUCGGGUUAAUACCCCGGUGUUCUGACGGUACCGGAAGAAUAAGCACCGGCUAACUUCGUGCCAGCAGCCGCGGUAAUACGAAGGGUGCAAGCGUUACUCGGAAUUACUGGGCGUAAAGCGUGCGUAGGUGGUUCGUUAAGUCUGAUGUGAAAGCCCUGGGCUCAACCUGGGAAUGGCAUUGGNAACUGGCGGACUGGAGUGCGGUAGAGGGUAGCGGAAUUCCCGGUGUAGCAGUGAAAUGCGUAGAGAUCGGGAGGAACAUCCGUGGCGAAGGCGGCUACCUGGACCAGCACUGACACUGAGGCACGAAAGCGUGGGGAGCAAACA
rnacentral:rRNA from 1 species